CCAAUAGCGUAUAUUAAAGUUGUUGCAGUUAAAAAGCUCGUAGUUGAAUUUCGGGGUCAGUAGGUUGGUCGUGCCACUGGUAUGCACUGGUCUCACUGAUUCCUCCUUCCUGAUGAGCCGUAAUGCCAUUAAUUUGGUGUUGCGGGGAAUCUGGACUGUUACUUUGAAAAAAUUAGAGUGUUUAAAGCAGGCUAACGCUUGAAUACAUUAGCAUGGAAUAAUGAAAUAGGACGAUCGAUCCUAUUUUGUUGGUUUCUAGGAUUGACGUAAUGAUUAAUAGGGAUAGUUAGGGGCAUUAGUAUUCAAUUGUCAGAGGUGAAAUUCUUGGAUUUAUUGAAGACUAACUACUGCGAAAGCAUUUGCCAAGGAUGUUUUCAUUAAUCAAGAACGAAAGUUAGGGGAUCGAAGACGAUCAGAUACCGUCGUAGUCUUAACCAUAAACUAUGCCGACUAGGGAUCGGAUGAUGUUAAUUUUUUAAUGACUCAUUCGGCGCCUUACG
rnacentral:rRNA from 1 species